GGAGGUGUCGCCUAGCCCGGUUUAUGGCGCCCGCCUGCUAAGCGGGUUGAGGAUAAAACCUCUCGCGAGUUCAAAUCUCGCCACCUCCGCCA
rnacentral:tRNA from 2 species